rnacentral:lncRNA from 1 species
CCCUGUCUCUACAUGUCACAUAGCAUAGCUCUCUACAGUCCUGAAGGGGGAAAAAAAAACAUUUUCUCAUCUUUACAGCUCUGAUAUCGUGUUGAAGCAGCUGGCUGAAACACCUCAGGCUCUGAGCUUGACUAUGCAAGUAUUUCCUUCGAAUCCCUUACUGCACCCCUUCUGUAUCCAGCAUGAGAGGAUUGAUCCAAGCAUUUGAUUCACAGCACUGAUGUAAAUCCUUGGCCUGAGUGAUUGUCUGUUUUUAGGACAGGUAGAUACAUGUAGCUGCGGCCGUUCAUGGAAUCACUGUCAGGCCUGGAUAAGCUUACACGGGGAGAGUUUAGCAUCCAAACACUAAGACCAUCUAUACAUCAUACUGCAUAUAUAGCCAACUGUUGCAGCAUGAUCUUCACAGAAACCUGGCUGGAUUACACCACCCCAGACGCGGCUAUUGAGCUAGCUGGCCUUACCGUCUACCGAGCUGACAGAACAGCUGACUCAGGAAAGAAGAUCGGCGGAGGCUUGUGUAUUUACUCUAACAACUCUUGUUGUACAAAUACCAUCGUAGUUGAAAGAUGCUCUUGCCCUGACGUGGAGUUUAUGCUGCUUAAAUGUAGACCGUUUUAUCUCCCGAGAGAAUAAAAUAUCCCCCCAGACGCUAAUGCUAAACUGGCUCUAGCGCAGCUACACAACAGCAUUAAUAACAGCCUGGCUGCACACCCUGACAGUGUCUUUAUAGAAGCGGGGGAUUUUAAUCAUGCUGAUUUAAAGACUGUAUUUCACAAAUUCCAUCAUAAUGUGAACUGUGCAACUAGAGAUAAAACACUCGUGCUCCAUCCUUGGUAUACACCCACUAUUAAGACUGCUGGACCCAUGGUGGAGCCAGUUAGAAUAUGGCCUAAAAAUGCUAUCCCUGAGCUACAGGGUUGCUUCCACUACACAAACUGGGAUGUUUUCAAAGACCGGGAAUUAUUAACACGCCAGACACUUGAUGAGUACACCACUACAGUGAUGGAUUAUAUUAAUUUCUGUGUAGACAGGGUUACAUUCUGGAAGCUGAUCCAUGUCUUUCCUAACCAAAAACCAUGGAUGACGCAUUAAAGCCAGGGAUGCAGCCUAUAGGUCUGGGGACAGGGGGGCUUACAGCACAGCCAGGAGUGCUCUUAGAAGGGGCAUCAGGUCUGCCAAACUCGAUUACAAAAGGCGGAUUGAAGCCCAUUUUAACACCUCUACAAACUCCCGA